AAAAAAGGCUGCCAAGAUCAGACUUCAAUUGGAAAGAGAAAUAAUAAAAAACUGAGAAACCCCAUCUCUUCUCAAUUUGCUAUCUCACUUUUCAGUUCUGAUUUUCGUCCUCUUCAUCUCCCUUGAAACCCUAUCUCACUUCUUCACUAUCUAUUCAUCAGUUCUCUAUUAGAAGAAGGGUCUGCUGCACCCAUUUCCGGUAUGACACGAAGACUUAACUUAAUUUCACAAGUAAAUGACUCCAAACUCCAAAGCGACAUGGAAAUAGGAAGUGAGGCUAACAAAUUUAUGACAUAUUGACCAAUCUGGAAGAAUGAGUGAUAUGGAGAUGCUGUUUAUGAGUCAUUUUCCUUCUGAUGAAUGAAUUAAUUCCCUUGGAGGGACAAUUUCUUAGAGGUAGUGCACAAUAUCAAUUGAACCCUUUUUUAAGUGCCCACUCUCUGUUUCCUUGCAGAGGAGCAUGAUAUUUUUAAUUCAAAAGCUGAGCAGUAUUUUUUUCUUGCUUUCUUUUAACUGGAGUUACCCCUAUGGGUAUGUUGAAGUUCAUGAAAGUUGAAGUAUUAGCCAUAUACUAUGUAAAAAGCCACUUACAAGUAUGUGCCAUUUCUUGCACUUUUUUUUACAGCUCAUACUUAUUUCCCAAGAUAUUGUAUGGUUUCAAUCCAAUUGAUAUGCUUUCACUGAACAAUCACAUGUUCUUAGGACAAACUCAUAUUGAAGUUAAGAGUCAGUCUAACACAAGUGACUAUGACUUGGGUGUCUUUAACUGAUCUCUCUAAUUUAGUAUUUUCUUUUCAAUUUUUAGUGUCCAAAUUUGGUAGCACAGAUGAAGAACCUAAUGUUCCUUCAUGUAGCUCAUUCAUUGGUUGAAAACCUCUAGCUACCUGCUUCUUGCUGGAUCAUCCUCACACACUAUAGUAGCCAGCUUAAUUGGAUGCUGCAUUUUGGAGCCUCAUGUGAAAAGCUUCUUUAUAUCGGCUUACAAGCUGUUACUCACUUUAGCAGUUUAGCGUACUGUCAUUAGUUACCUCUGUAAAUUUAGUUUCACCCUGAUGUGUUUAGAUUUAUCAAUUGAAAUCAAAAUUACCAUUAUUAGGUAG